UACGGAGGGUGCAAGCGUUGUCCGGAUUUAUUGGGUUUAAAGGGUGCGUAGGCGGCUAAUUAAGUCAGCGGUGAAAUUCCACAGCUCAACUGUGGAACUGCCAUUGAUACUGGUUGGCUUGAGUACAGAUGAGGUAGGCGGAAUUGACAGUGUAGCGGUGAAAUGCUUAGAUAUUGUCAAGAACACCUAUUGCGAAGGCAGCUUACUACACAAAUAUUGACGCUGAGGCACGAAAGCGUGGGGAUCAAACAGG
rnacentral:rRNA from 1 species